CUUGAUGUGUUCCUCUUAAAAUAUCAUUGGUGCAUAGUCUAGGCUUUGUUACCUUUACCUUUGGUAGUUCUACUAGAUAGGUGGGUUCUGUAAGCAUAAGCUUUCACUUUGGACCUUAAAAGUUUAUCACAUUCUCUGGAGAUGAGCUGCUAAAGAAAAAAAGAAAUAAGAUUUGCAUGCUAGUGAUCUACAAAUGUGCCAAUUUUCCUUAAGCUGGUAAAUUAGGCUCUAUCUCAUCCAAAAGCACUUUUAUUGUUUGUUCACCAGUUUUCUAAGUGCACUCCUAAUUUUCUUGUUUGCUAGGAUUCUGAAAAAACAUAUUAUUUUAUUGAAUAGCCUAUCUUAAAACAAUGUUACAAGCUUAUGUAUUUAUACACAAGUACAGCCAAUAUACACUAGGAAACUAGCAGGAAACUCCUCUUCCUAAAGUUUGUCCUAAAAUGAAGCUUAAAAUCUGGCCUAAGUAUUUAUACACAAGUAGAAACUAGCAGGAAACUCCUCUUCCUAAAGUUUGUCCUAAAAUGAAGCUUAAAAUCUGGCCUAAAAUCAAGGUCCUAAAAUCUCUACAAUUAAUACUUUUUGACUAAUAU
rnacentral:lncRNA from 1 species